CCCUCCAGUGUGGGAAGCAGCUGGAGAGACUUGAGAAGGUUUUUUUCCCAGGAAGUGGCCAAAGCUGUGAAGCACUUCUCUGUCACAAGAUUACUCUCAUCUCUCCAUCAGUUCUGAAGAAAUACUGAAUUCCAUUUGAUAAGUGGAUGGAGUGUGGGAAGCAGUAGGUGCUGUGCUCAUGGCAGAAGUACACUGUGAAGAUCUCCAUGGAUGUGUUUGGGAGGAAGAAGCAGCCAGAGCUUUACAAGCUUUGGAAAGCUGGGAAGGACCUGACUGUCACUGACCAGGCUCUUCCAA